CACUUCUUUUGGGCUAUUGCUUGGAUUCCUUUACUGCUAUUCAGUGUGAAAGCUGUGAACACUGGUUUCAUGACUGUUGCCUGAAUUCCUAUAAUAUCCCAGACAAACAAUCUCCAUGGUAGAUCAGUGCACCCAGACAGACCAGUGGUUACCGCCACCUCUGGUGAAACCUACUGCACACCACUACCACUGUCCAGAAGCUCCUCCUACAACUUCCAUAACAACUCUCCCUGAAAAAGGAAAGGAGCUCCUAGAGCAGCUUGAAGUACAGAACAGUAACACUUCUGGAAAUGCUCAGGUGGAGCAACUCCCCAUGCUCUGGGCUCCUGCUCCACCCACUGUCCCCAGAAGUGAACAAAGGUUGCUGCCAGCCCCGCAGGAGAGACUAAUGCUUAUAAAUGCUCAUCAGCCCGACAUCAACACACCAUGCGGGUCUCUGCUGGCGAUUGAGUAUGUGGAGAACUUAGGUUUGACGCAACCUGUCUGCUUACCUCCGGAGAAAACUACAAACUGUAAGGCCUCGAUCUUGCACAGCAUGCCUAACCGUCAUUCUGCAGACAAGUGUGGAUGUUCUGAAUGCCAGGCCUUCUACAGUCUUGAGACAGAUCAGUGCUUACAGACAGAUCAGUGCUUACAAACAGAUCAGUGCUUACAGACAGAUCAGUGCACACAGACAGAUCAGUGCUUACAGACAGAUCAGUGCACACAGACGGAUCAGUGCACACAGACGGAUCAGUGCACAGAGACGGAUCAGUGCACACAGACAGAUCAGUGCACACAGACGGAUCAGUGCACACAGACAGAUCAGUGGUUACCCGCCACCUCUGGUGAAAGCUACCGCACACCACUACCACUGUCCAGAAGCUCCUCCUACAACUUCCAUAACAGCUCUCCCUGAAAAAGGAAAGGAGCUCCUAGAGCAGCUUGAAGUACAGAACAGUAACACUUCUGGAAAUGCUCAGGUGGAGCAACUCCCCAUGGUCUGGGCUCCUGCUUCACCCACUGUCCCCAGAAGUGAACAAAGGUUGCUGCCAGCCCUGCAGGAGAGACUAAUGCUUAUAAAUGCUCAUCAGCCCGACAUCAACACACCAU
ensembl:lncRNA